rnacentral:rRNA from 1 species
AACUCCUACGGGAGGCAGCAGUGGGGAAUAUUGCACAAUGGGGGAAACCCUGAUGCAGCGACGCCGCGUGAGUGAAGAAGUAUCUCGGUAUGUAAAGCUCUAUCAGCAGGGAAGAAAAUGACGGUACCUGACUAAGAAGCCCCGGCUAACUACGUGCCAGCAGCCGCGGUAAUACGUAGGGGGCAAGCGUUAUCCGGAAUUACUGGGUGUAAAGGGUGCGUAGGUGGUAUGGCAAGUCAGAAGUGAAAACCCAGGGCUUAACUCUGGGACUGCUUUUGAAACUGUCAGACUGGAGUGCAGGAGAGGUAAGCGGAAUUCCUAGUGUAGCGGUGAAAUGCGUAGAUAUUAGGAGGAACAUCAGUGGCGAAGGCGGCUUACUGGACUGAAACUGACACUGAGGCACGAAAGCGUGGGGAGCAAACAGGAUUAGAUACCCUGGUAGUCCACGCCGU